rnacentral:rRNA from 1 species
CCUACGGGGGGCAGCAGUGGGGAAUAUUGGGCAAUGGGCGCAAGCCUGACCCAGCAACGCCGCGUGAAGGAAGAAGGCUUUCGGGUUGUAAACUUCUUUUCUCAGGGACGAAGCAAGUGACGGUACCUGAGGAAUAAGCCACGGCUAACUACGUGCCAGCAGCCGCGGUAAUACGUAGGUGGCAAGCGUUAUCCGGAUUUACUGGGUGUAAAGGGCGUGUAGGCGGGAAAGCAAGUCAGAUGUGAAAACCAUGGGCUCAACCUGUGGCCUGCAUUUGAAACUGUUUUUCUUGAGUACUGGGGAGGCAGACGGAAUUCCUAGUGUAGCGGUGAAAUGCGUAGAUAUUAGGAGGAACACCAGUGGCGAAGGCGGUCUGCUGGACAGCAACUGACGCUGAGGCGCGAAAGCGUGGGGAGCAAACAGGAUUAGAUACCCCUGUAGUC